CUGGGUAAAGGCCUCGCGCCUCCAACCCCACCCUCUGUAACCGCGGCCCGGAUUCGGCGCGUGGCGGGGAAUCCCUCUGUUCGCGGAGGCUUCUCGCCUGCCGGAAUCAGCCAAUACUGCCUCGAAAAUUGAAGUCUGAGAACAAGUUAAAUUAAAUA
rnacentral:misc_RNA from 1 species